UGGUGGAGCUGCUGCGCCCCAUGCGGCCUGCCGAGGGCGCCGCCGAGGGCCCCCGAGCUCCGUGGGGUCAGGGUGGGGGGAGCUGCCGGGGACAGGGCGGCCCGAGGGGCAGGGGCAGGAGCGCCCCCGGCCUGGGGUGUGUCUGGGCCCCGGCUCCCGGCUCUUGAAGGACCGCGAGCAGGAAGCUUGCGCAAUCCCUUGGCUGAGCGUCCACGGAGAAAGAAAAAGAGUAAAAGCCGAGCGAGAGUGGAGCGAGCGAUGGGGGCAGGCAAAGAGCCAUCCGGGUCUCCACCACCGCCCUGACACACGACCCGACUGUCAGUUGGGGACCGCGCGGGGGCAAGCAGGGGAGGGACGAGCCUGAGCAGGGCUCGUGUUCGCCCAGGAAUCCCUGGGAAGCCUUGAAGACAGUCUGGUGGUGAACGCACACGUUGACUCCAUUUCAUUACCACCUGGCAGCUCUUGCGCCACGGAGGCUGCUGCUGCCCGGAGGCUGCCGCCCACGGAGACCCACGUGGCCCCUCCCCGAGGGGUACUGGGGUGAGGGUUGUCUUCUGGUGGCUGCAGAGGUGUUCGGUUUGCGACUGAUCUCUAACGAGCUUGAGGCGCAAACCUGGGAUUCCCUGAGUGUUGGGGUGCGGGGGGGGGCAAGCCAGGUGGGACGACGCCUGCCUGUUUUCCCUGACUAGGUGCGGUGGGGGCGGGGGACGGCUCUCGGGGUUUAUAGAAGCUGGGUGGGCGCACAGGAAAAGAUUUUUCUACUGCCGUGUUUGGCUUUUCCCCGGCAUUCUUGCCCAAGGCGAAGAACUGUCGCGCGGGGCUCCACCGCGGAAGGAGAGGGGUCGUGAGGCUGGCGCGGGAAGCGCUGUAGGCGACAGUCGCCCGUCCACGACGACCCAGCCGCACAAGCCGGUUGCGCCGUCGGUCCGUCGGGAGGUCUGCAGCAACUUUGUCCCGGCCAGUCCCCUUGUCCGGGAAGGGGCUGAGCUUCCCGACACUCCACCCUCCCCCCUCUUGAAAAUCCCCUGGAAAAUCUGUUUGCAGUGGGUGUUUCCGCGGCGUCCGGGUCGGGGGCGCCGGGGGAGGCCGAACGGCGGCUGCAGCCUCCCUGCCGCCAGGGGCGUCGGACUCCGCUUCGCUCCCUGCGCCCAGGGCCCUCAGGGGCCCACGCUCAGGACCUCGGGGCCACACGGCAGGACCCGGUGCCCUCACUACGGGUUUGCGCAGGAGCCGGGCUGGGCCAGGCGAGGAGCUGGGGAGGAAGUGGGGGGUCCGUACAGCGGAUCCUUUCUGGAGCUGCCUGUGCCGCGGCGUGAAGCGUUUCCUGGCUCCCCAGGACUGCCGGAGGGGCCGCCCCAAGCACUUCAGAAGCCCAGCGAGCCCCCGGCCACCGCCGCUCCUGGCCUUUUUCCGACGACUUUGAAAGUGAAAUUCACAAGCACCAGCAAUUGACUUCCCUUCCGUGGUUAUUUAUUUCGUCUCCGUGGAUGACAGGGGCUGCUCGAGCCCCUGGUUCUGCUGCCAGACUGAAGCCUUCCAGAUGCCACCUUUGUUUGGGCCCCCGGGGCCCUCCGGGGGCCCCAGGAGAGGAGAGCUGCUAUCUAGCUCAGCCACAGGCUCGCUCCUGGAGGGGACAAAGCUGAAGGAGUGGACCCUGGAGAGGUCGGGAACCUUUUAACAGCCGUGGACUGAAGGGUGAUUACUGAGAGUCCGGUCUGGGAAGAAGCAUGACCCGCGCCAUCCCAGGGAAAUAAACGACUUCUCAAAGGAAUCCUCUCCCUGAGCCGGUGCUCUGGGCAAGGAGAUGGCCACCGCCCGCCCACGGAACCCACAUUUGGGCUCUACCCUGAGGUGGCUGCCUGUGGCUUCCCGGGCGGGUCCCCAACUCAGAAAGCUCUUGAGUUGUUGUCGUUUUCGGCCCUGAGAGGUGGAUUGCAGAUCACACAGGGGGGAUUUACCAGUAACCACUACAAAAUCUACCUGGGCUUUAUCAAAAGCA